rnacentral:rRNA from 1 species
GGCGGUGGUAACUAUAACCAUCCUAAGGUAGCGAAAUUCCUUGUCGGGUAAGUUCCGACCUGCACGAAUGACAUAAUGAUGGCAGCGCUGUCUCCAGCAGAGACUCAGUGAAAUCGAAAUCGCAGUGAAGAUGCUGUGUACCCGCGGCUAGACGGAAAGACCCCGUGAACCUUUACUACAGCUUUACAUUGAACUUUGACCUGACUUGUGCAGGAUAGGUGGGAGGCUUUGAA